UACGGAGGGUGCGAGCGUUAUCCGGAUUCACUGGGUUUAAAGGGUGCGUAGGUGGGUUAUUAAGUCAGUGGUGAAAUCUCCGUGCUUAACAUGGAAACUGCCAUUGAUACUAUUGAUCUUGAAUUUUCUGGAGGUAAGCGGAAUAUGUCAUGUAGCGGUGAAAUGCUUAGAUAUGACAUAGAACACCGAUUGCGAAGGCAGCUUACUACAGGGACAUUGACACUGAUGCACGAAAGCGUGGGGAUCAAACAGG
rnacentral:rRNA from 1 species